UACGUAGGGUGCAAGCGUUAAUCGGAAUUACUGGGCGUAAAGCGUGCGCAGGCGGUUUUGUAAGUCUGACGUGAAAUCCCCGGGCUUAACCUGGGAAUUGCGUUGGAGACUGCAAGGCUGGAGUCUGGCAGAGGGGGGUAGAAUUCCACGUGUAGCAGUGAAAUGCGUAGAGAUGCGGAGGAACACCGAUGGCGAAGGCAGCCCCCUGGGCUAACACUGACGCUCAGGCACGAAAGCGUGGGGAGCGGAAC
rnacentral:rRNA from 1 species